AUGGCAGCGAUCAUGGCGGGGCGCGGGCAGGGGCUGGAGCAAGAUUUCGAUUUCUUCGUGGUGGUCGACUUCGAGGCGACGUGCGUCAAAGACGCGCGGAUCUUCCCGCAGGAAAUCAUCGAGUUCCCUGCCGUGCUCGUCGACGGCGCCACCGGCUGCAUCGAGUCCGCGUUUCGCAGGUACGUUCGUCCAAAACAUCACCCUGUGCUGACCCAGUUUUGCAGGGAACUCACCGGCAUCCGGCAGGAGGACGUCGACGGCGGCGUGGAUCUCGUUGAGGCGCUCUGGCUGCACGACGCUUGGUUGAAGGCGGAGACGGCGGGGGCAGGGAACAAGAGACGCGUCCGCUUGGCCGUCGUGACAUGGGGGGACUGGGACUGCCGCACCAUGCUCGAGUUCGAGUGCCGCUUCAAGGGCAUCGAGAAGCCCUCCUACUUCGAUCAGUGA
rnacentral:rRNA from 1 species